AUGUACCAAGCGCCCACUGCGGUUCUGGGCGCGCCGUCCGCGCCCAUCUGACAGCUCGCUACGUUUUGUUAGCC
rnacentral:sRNA from 1 species